UUCUUGUAGUUGAAUUACAACGGUGGUUUUUCACGCCACAGGUCUUGGUUAAAAUCCUGGCAGGAAUUA
ensembl:Mt_tRNA